GACGAACGCUGGCGGCGUGCUUAACACAUGCAAGUCGAACGAUGAAGUUCCUUCGGGAAUGGAUUAGUGGCGAACGGGUGAGAAACACGUGAGAAACCUGCCUUUCAUUUUGGGAUAACUCCGGGAAACCGGAGCUAACACCGAAUACUCCGUCUCGGCGGCAUCGCUGAGCCGGGAAAAAAUUUUGAUGAAAGAUGGUCUCGCGGCCUAUCAGCUAGUUGGUGAGGUAAUGGCUCACCAAGGCGACGACGGGUAGCCGGCCUGAGAGGGCGACCGGCCACACUGGGACUGAGACACGGCCCAGACUCCUACGGGAGGCAGCAGUGGGGAAUAUUGGGCAAUGGGCGCAAGCCUGACCCAGCGACGCCGCGUGAGGGAUGAAGGCCUUCGGGUUGUAAACCUCUUUCAGUAGGGAAGAAGCGAAAGUGACGGUACCUAAAGAAGAAGCACCGGCUAACUAUGUGCCAGCCGCCGCCGUAA
rnacentral:rRNA from 1 species